GUCAAUAAGAAAGUCAAUAAGAAAGACAAUAAAAAUAAUCUGCAAAUCAAACUAUUAUUAUAAUUUUCAGAUAAAAUGCAAGAUUAUAAUGAUACUUUCAUGACAAGGGCCUUUGUUAAGGCUCAUGAGGCUCUUGCUAUUGGAGAGGUGCCAAUAGGAUGCGUUUUUGUGGGAGAAAAUGACCAAGUUAUAUCAGAGACAAGGAAUACUGUAAACCAAACCAAGAACGCCACCAGACACGCCGAGAUUAAUGCUGUAGAUGAUGUAGAGAAAUUAGCCAAGGACCGAGGGGUGUGCUCCAGCAGUAUAUAUCCUACAAUAUCCGUCUAUGUGAAUGUGGAACCAUGUAUUAUGUGCGCUGCGGCUCUAAUGAAAGUCAGGGUAAAAGCUAUCUACUAUGGAUGUGCUAAUGAUAAGUUUGGAGGAUGUGGAUCUGUAGGAAACCUAGAAGCAAAUAUGGCAGAACUAGCUCCGGAUUACAGAGUGAAAGUGUCCGGAGGCCACAGAGCUCCAGAGGCUAUUCAACUUCUUAAAGAAUUCUAUAACGGAGAAAAUCCGUAUGCUCCGAACCCUAAGGUUAAGGGAGUGAAACUAAAGAAGGAGCAGGUUAAUGGAGAAUCAUGCUCCUCAUGAAACCUGGAGCAAACCUUUUCAAAAGAUUGUUCAGUUAUUAGAACUUGGUGUAGGUUUUAAUAAUUGAACAAUUGGACCCAUCUUUUUUUAUUUUAUCAUUUUUACAUUUGCAUGAUCUGUGAUAUUUCAGA